CUCCUCCCCAGGGCUCACCACCACGAUUCCGCACAGAAUGCUCAGUCAGUGCCUCCCGGGAGUUCGCCAUCACUCCAUUCCUCCUGGGCGCCCUUGAAGACUCCAGCAGGCAUCGCCUCCUCAGGGGCACCUGCCCUGAUACGGCCAUCACCCACCCCACCUUGCCGUGCUCCAUCCCUUUACUCAACCCGUUUUACCAAGAUUAUCUAUUUACCCAUCUUUCUUCCCGACAAGACGUUGCAUCCUUUCCAACUAGAGCCUUUUGGAUUUCACAUUUGGCUCCUGUGCCUCGUGUGGGACCUGGAGCAGAGGAGGACGUUUGCACUGAAUCUUUCUGGGAGAGAACAGUUCAAGGAGGCAAGAGAAGAAACUGGAAAACCAGUGAGGAGGAAAACCAUCCAAGAAAGCAUGGUCAGACGUUGAACAUACGGAUGGAUAAAGGAAUGAAUGGAUUGAUGAAGAAGAGAAAGAUCUUGGGGCCCGGUGGAGACACAAGCCUAAACCCAUUUUGGUGGUGGGGGGAGAGUUUGCAAGGGUGGAGAGCAGGCAGGUAAUUUUCACCCUCUUCCUUUCACCAGGAUCUCAGCAAAUCGGAAUGGAGGUAGCCCUGCUUGGGAGGAGCAGUCGGAGGCUGACAUUUUUAGGGUAAUCCCUGUGGUUCUUUGGGGCCAGUUCCUGGCGUGGACCCCGUGCCAGAAACCAGGGAAAGGAACACAACCCGCCACCCUCACUCCCGGAAGAGCUCACGCCACCCAGGGAACAAGGCAGCCGUGGCAGCUCGCUGGAGUCGGCUUCACCAACGUGUCACCGCUUACAUCACAUGACGCAACGUGUGUUCACAUCCACUCUCUUGUCUGCGUCUCCGCCGGCCCUCCUUCAGGCUGAGAGGAGACUGGGGCACCACUGGAGAGACGAGGGUGCGGGCAAGCAGAGGCCAGGAGGCUCCCCAGCUCUCCUGCUUCCAGGAGGCAGCUGGACUCCAGAGCAGGUCUCCCAGCUCUGGCCCAGUGCUGUCCCACUUCACUGCAGGGACUCACGCUCCCGCCCUCCAUGGCAACCUGCACAGCAGGAGACAGGCCUCCUCGCAUGCUGGGACAGAGCAGGCUUCUGAGUCAGACGACACAGUGGCAGGUCCUGGGUUUCCCACUCUCUGUGUGACUUGGGCAAUAACUUGACUGCUCUGUGCUUUAAGUCUCUCACCUAUCAAGUGGGGAUAUUCUCAUCAGGUGGAUGUGAGACUUCUGUGAGGUGGCACGUAGCCUGAACGUGGUCGAUACAGCAAUUCUGUAUUAUAAUUGGGAACGAAGCCCACCGCCUCCCCUGGCCUGCCUCCAAUUAUCAGAGCACCUGAGGAUUUUCGGCCGACGCCCUUCUCCUGACUCCAAGGUCAGGUCUACCAGGGUCUCAACGCCCACCUGCAAAGCGAGGACCUGUGUCUCCGGGAGUUCGCAAACGGCAGCUGCCCCAGUGCGGGACAAACGUCUGGUGGCUGGCUGAGCUGGUGCGCCUGCCUGGAAGGCCCAUCAAGGUGCUCUGCGGCUGAGGGCUCCCGUGAAAUGUCCAUGUGCACUCUCGAGCCUGGCCUUGGGGUCAAAGCAGGCGCCUGUCCGUGCUUCUGUUUCUCUGCUCCCCCAGCCCCUACUGGGAAGAAGUGGGUGAA